CCUGGCUCAGAACGAACGCUGGCGGCGUGGAUAAGACAUGCAAGUCGGACGAGACUUUUUCCUGUAGCAAUACAGGAGAAAGUUUAGUGGCGAACGGGUGCGUAACACGUGGGCAAUCUGCCUUAAAGUGGGGGAUAGCUCGGCGAAAGCCGAAUUAAUACCGCAUGUGGUCAGAGAGGACAUCCUCUCGAAACUAAAGCCGGGGCAACCUGGCGCUUUUUGUUGAGCCCGCGGCCUAUCAGCUAGUUGGUGAGGUAAUGGCUCACCAAGGCUUUGACGGGUAGCUGGUCUGAGAGGACGACCAGCCACACUGGAACUGAGACACGGUCCAGACACCUACGGGUGGCAGCAGUCGAGAAUUUUUCUCAAUGGGGGAAACCCUGAAGGAGCGACGCCGCGUGGAGGAUGAAGGCUUUCGGGUUGUAAACUCCUGUCAUUUGAGAACAAGGCGCCGAUAUUGACUGUAUCGGCGUUGAUAGUAUCAGAAGAGGAAGAGACGGCUAACUCUGUGCCAGCAGCCGCGGUAAUACAGAGGUCUCAAGCGUUGUUCGGAUUCAUUGGGCGUAAAGGGUGCGUAGGUGGCGCGCUAAGUCAGGUGUGAAAUUUCGGGGCUCAACCCCGAAACUGCAUUUGAUACUGGCGUGCUUGAGGACUGGAGAGGAGACUGGAAUUCACGGUGUACAUGAAAUGCGUAGAUUCGUGAGGGAAGACCAGUGGCGAAGGCGGGUCUCUUGGGACNGUUUCCUGACACUUGAAGGCACCGAAAGGCAGGGGAAGCCAAACCGGAUUAAAUACCCCGGUAGUCCUGGCAAGUAACGGUGCCCGUUUGGUGUGGGAGGAUUCCACCCCUUCUGCGCCGGAGCUAACGCGUUAAACGUGCCGCCUGGGGAGUACGGUCGCAAGAUUAAAACUCAAAGAAAUUGACGGGGGCCCGCACAAGCGGUGGAGUAUGUGGCUUAAUUCGAUGCAACGCGAAGAACCUUACCUGGCCUUGACAUGCAUCUCUAAGUUGGUGAAAGCCAGCGAGUCCCGAAAGGGACAAUUUGCACAGGUGCUGCAUGGCUGUCGUCAGCUCGUGUCGUGAGAUGUUGGGUUAAGUCCCGCAACGAGCGCAACCCCUGUGAACUGUUGCCACUCCCUUUGUUGGGAAGCACUCUGUUCAGACUGCCCUGUGAAACGGGGAGGAAGGUGGGGACGACGUCAAGUCAGUAUGGCCCUUACGGCCAGGGCUGCACACGUACUACAAUGCCCAGUACAGAACGAUCCGAGACCGCGAGGUGGAGGAAAUCUCUCAAAACUGGGCUCAGUUCGGAUUGAAGGCUGCAACUCGCCUUCAUGAAGCCGGAAUCGCUAGUAAUGGCGCAUCAGCUACGGCGCCGUGAAUACGUUCCCGGGCCUUGUACACACCGCCCGUCACAUCAUGGAAGUCACUUGUAGCCGAAGCCGGCGCGCUAACCAGCAAUGGAGGCAGCCGCCUACGCUAUGAGUGGUAACUGGGAUGAAGUCGUACAAGUAGCCGUAGGGGAACCUGCGGCUGGAUCACCUCC
rnacentral:rRNA from 1 species